rnacentral:rRNA from 1 species
CAGCCGCCGCGGGAAUACGUAGGUGGCAAGCGUUGUCCGGAUUUAUUGGGCGUAAAGCGAGCGCAGGCGGUUUCUUAAGUCUGAUGUGAAAGCCCCCGGCUCAACCGGGGAGGGUCAUUGGAAACUGGGAGACUUGAGUGCAGAAGAGGAGAGUGGAAUUCCAUGUGUAGCGGUGAAAUGCGUAGAUAUAUGGAGGAACACCAGUGGCGAAGGCGGCUCUCUGGUCUGUAACUGACGCUGAGGCUCGAAAGCGUGGGGAGCAAACAGGAUUAGAUACCCCUGUAGUCCCUGUCUCUUAUAU